rnacentral:lncRNA from 1 species
GCUUCAUGUUCUAUCGGCAUAGAGAGAGAUUUUGUAUACCCACUUAUAGAUAAAAUAAAUUAUAUUAUGAAUAUUUAAUUUGCAUAGUAUUCUUCUAAUAUUUAUUAUUGGCAGGGUGUAUUCGACAUCAUUGAUUUUGAGAAGGAUCAUGUGAGGCGAGCCGUGGACACUCAUUUAUCAUUGUAUUUUAGAGAUUAUCGCCAUCACAUGCAUCAGCAUUGGUACCAUGUGG